rnacentral:rRNA from 1 species
CUACGGGUCGCUGCAGUGAGGAAUAUUGCACAAUGGGGGGAACCCUGAUGCAGCAACGCCGCGUGGAGGAUGACGCAUUUCGGUGUGUAAACUCCUUUUGUAUGUCAAGAAAAUGACGGUAGCAUAUGAAUAAGCACCGCGCUAACUCCGUGCCAGCAGCCGCGGUAAUACGGAGGGUGCAAGCGUUACUCGGAAUCACUGGGCGUAAAGGACGCGUAGGCGGGUUGGAAAGUCAGGUGUGAAAUCCUACAGCUUAACUGUAGAACUGCACUUGAAACUUCUAAUCUAGAGUAUGGGAGGGGGAGAUGGAAUUAGUGGUGUAGGGGUAAAAUCCGUAGAUAUCACUAGGAAUACCUAAAGCGAAGGCGAUCUCCUGGAACAUUACUGACGCUAAGGCGUGAAAGCGUGGGGAGCAAACAGGAUUAGAUACCCUAGUAGUC